rnacentral:rRNA from 1 species
UACAGAGGAGCCAAGCGUUGUCCGGAUUGACUGGGCGUAAAGCGCACGCAGGCGGUCUGGCGCGUGGGGUGUGAAAUCUGGCCGCUUAACGGCCAGGCGCCAUCCCAUACGGCCGGACUGGAGCCUUGCAGAGGUCGGUGGAAUUGCCGGUGUAGUGGUGAAAUGCGUAGAGAUCGGCAGGAACACCCAGGGGGAAACCAGCCGACUGGGCAAGUGCUGACGCGGAGGUGCGAGAGCGUGGGGAGCGAACCGG